rnacentral:misc_RNA from 1 species
AAGUCGUAACAAGGUUUCCGUAGGUGAACCUGCGGAAGGAUCAUUACUGAUUUGGCGGACCGAGCGUCAGCGAGGUUCCGCGAUCACCUGUAUUUAAAACCCACACUUUGAAUGUAAUAUGUAUAUUUUUGUAUUUUUAAUAAUAAAAAAGAUCACUUUCAACAACGGAUCUCUUGGCUCUC